GACCGCGUAGCUCAGUUGGCAGAGCAUUGGGCUAGUAUUCCAAAGGUCGUAGGUUCAAUUCCCACGGUGGCCA
rnacentral:tRNA from 1 species